GAACCACCUCUCCCUUCCAAAUUCUUCUCUGUAUUUCAUGCCCAGGAAAAACUCUGGGUUCCCAAGAAAGAGUCGAAUGACCGUCCUUCUCGCUGGACCCGCGGAGUUUCUACGCAGUGUCUACCCCGGAAGGAGUGAGACUUCAGAAAGUUAUAAUCACGUUUGUGCCUGAGGGAGGUCGAACAAUUUCCAAUGUGAAAAAAGGGAACACUGUCCCACUCACAGUCUUAAGGCAAGGAAACUGAGCCUCAGAGAAGGAAAACCUCUACUGAGUGUUUAUUUACCGUGUAGACAUUUUCCUCAUGACAUCUCUGUGUGCUUCCAAGACAACAGCUUGUGACUCUCAAAAUGAUGAAUGGCCUUGGGCUGUCUCUGUGGCCUGGUGGUUAAGACAGCUAGAUCCUGCAUGGCCUAUCCUGUGGUUGAAGUCCUGGACCUAGCAG